ensembl:snRNA U6 U6 spliceosomal RNA
GUGCUUGUUUCAGCAGCAUAUAUAUUAAAAUUGAAAUGACAGAGAGAAGAUUAGCAUGGCCCCUGUGCAAGGAUAACAAGCAAAUUCGUAAAGUGUUCCAUAUUUUU